GCUUUGGCGGGCCGUCCUUUUAGGCGUCAGCUCCGGCUGAUCGCGCCCGCCAGAGGACCAAAACUCUUUUAUUAGUGAUGUCUGAGUACUAUAUAAUAGUUAAAACUUUCAACAACGGAUCUCUUGGUUCUGGCAUCGAUGAAGAACGCAGCGAAAUGCGAUAAGUAAUGUGAAUUGCAGAAUUCAGUGAAUCAUCGAAUCUUUGAACGCACAUUGCGCCCACUGGUACUCCGGUGGGCAUGCCUGUUCGAGCGUCAUUAUAACCAAUCAAGCUCUGCUUGGCUUUGGAGCUCGCCUUACCGGCGGUUCCUAAAACCAGUGGCAGUGUCGCCUAGCUCUGAGCGUAGUAAUUCUUCUCGCUAUAGAGUUUAGGUGUCCACCCGCCAGAACCCCCAUUUUUCUUAGGUUGACCUCGGAUCAGGUAGGGAUACCCGCUGAACUUAAGCAUAUCAAUAAGCGGAGGAAAAGAAACCAACAGGGAUUGCCUCAGUAACGGCGAGUGAAGCGGCAACAGCUCAAAUUUGAAAUCUGCCUCUAGGCCGAGUUGUAAUUUGUAGAAGAUGCUUUGGGUGUGGCACCGGUCUAAGUUCCUUGGAACAGGACGUCAUAGAGGGUGAGAAUCCCGUACGUGACUGGCCGCCUUCGCCCGUGUAAAGCUCUUUCGACGAGUCGAGUUGUUUGGGAAUGCAGCUCUAAAUGGGUGGUAUAUUUCAUCUAAAGCUAAAUAUUGGCCAGAGACCGAUAGCGCACAAGUAGAGUGAUCGAAAGAUGAAAAGCACUUUGGAAAGAGAGUUAAACAGUACGUGAAAUUGUUGAAAGGGAAGCGCUUGCAACCAGACUUGCGCGCUGUCGAUCAUCCGAGGUUUUCCCCGGUGCACUCGGCGGUGCUCAGGCCAGCAUCGGUUUCAGUGGUUGGAUAAAGGCCUUGGGAAUGUAGCUCCUUCGGGAGUGUUAUAGCCCUCGGUGCAAUGCAGCCUAUUGGGACCGAGGACCGCGCUUCGGCUAGGAUGCUGGCGUAAUGGUUGUAAGCGACCCGUCUUGAAACACGGACC
rnacentral:rRNA from 1 species